rnacentral:rRNA from 1 species
UAAUACCAGCACCCCGAGUGGUCGGGACGAUUAUUGGGCCUAAAGCAUCCGUAGCCGGUCCUGCAAGUCUUCCGUUAAAUCCAGCUGCUCAACAGAUGGGCUGCGGAGGAUACUACAGGGCUAGGAGGCGGGAGAGGCAAGCGGUACUUUAUGGGUAGGGGUAAAAUCCGUUGAUCCAUAGAAGACCACCAGUGGCGAAGGCGGCUUGCCAGAACGCGCUCGACGGUGAGGGAUGAAAGCUGGGGGAGCAAACCGGA